CGGAAGUGAAUAGCGUCGAGUUCCGGUCCGUUGCCGUCGCGGAGGAGGUGUGUUGAUUCUGAGCAAUAAACAACAUAUUUAUAACAUUCAGGAUUGACUUCUAAAGUCUCUUGACACGUGAGGAAGAACCCCGGAAGA